CAUCAACACUGAUCUCCAUGGAACUCUGCACGAGGUAAUUUCUCUUCUGAGAGCCCAGCAUCCAGCGAAUCAGUCCUGAUGGUCAACUCAAAAGACUGAAUUUAUAGAAGCAGAAGAAAGAAGCACACAAUUGAGAUCCCCUGUAGUAAAUCCACCUUGACUCCUUUGGCUGUGAGAAGAAACUUGUUUGGCAUGUUGGAGAAAACUUAACAAAACCCCUUGUCGUCCUAGAAAAUCCUUUGCUGAAAUGUAAAUAAGAAAGAAAACAUUAAAUCAGACCGAGAUGUAAGUCCAGGUCAUCUGCUAC
rnacentral:lncRNA from 12 species